rnacentral:rRNA from 1 species
AGAACCUCUCGCCGGUUUGUUAUUUUUUUUCCUCCGGAUCAAAGAACUCCCACUCGUUAGAAAGUUAUUAACCUUAUCAUUUAGAGGAAGGAGAAGUUGUAACAAGGUUUCCGUAGGUGAACCUGCGGAAGGAUCAUUG